GGAACUUUAGCUUACACUUAGAGGAAAGUGGCAGAGCAUCUGCUUUGCAUGCAGAAGGUCUCAGGUUCAAUCCCCAGGUAGGGCCU